CUCCCCUCCCCCUCCCUCCUAAUCUUCUUCUUCUUCUCUGGCCAUCCGUCGCCCUCCUCAAAUCCCGCGGAGUUUGCCGGAGGAAAACCAUCCGUCGUCCGAACGUGCCACACCAGAGGUAUGUAUCGGCUUUUCCCAAAUUAGUUCAACGGUGUUGGAUAUUGCUUGGAGAUUUUACUUGAAUCAAUAUCAAUUUGUGUAACCUCGGCGUGUACUAAUGUUGCUACUUUUUCCCUCUUUAAUCUGAGCGUUCAAUCUCUGUAAGCUAGGUGCUGGGUGAUGCCUGUACAUUACAUUAGUCCAAUGUUUGCCAAACUAUGAUAAAUUCAUGUGCCAUUUGUGUCGGUUUUAGAUACUUCAAGUUUAAUUUGAGACAUCGGUAGUUAAUCCACUGUUUAUUUCCCUUUCUGGAUCAGGGACAAAUUGCUCAAUCAUAAUUGUUUGUUCUUCUUUCUGUUACAGGGAAGCACCGGAAAGAGGAUGUUUCUAUGCAGCAUAACCCAAAAGUUUAAUUUGAUGUAUUCCAUGAAGCGUAUGUUCCAUAGCCUCCAUCCUGUAGUUUAUUUCCUUUGCUUCAGGUUGUACAGAGGAUUUCCUUUGUUUCAGGUUGUACAAAGGAGCUCAACGACAACUGAGGUGCUGCUGGAAUUACAUCAGCUACUAACUUACGUAUAUACAUAAAAAACUGCAGCUUUAGCUCCAUGUAGUAAUGAUUAAGUAUAUUCUAAUGCUCAUAGGUACUGAUUACUAUUUUUUACAGGUUAAUCUAAUCAAUUCCUUGGCAUACUUUAGGAAACGAGGGUAUAUUGGGCGGUCUCCGACAGCCCGACGACAAUACAGAGUCGUCGUAGUUGGGUUGUGUUCAUGUAACACUGAAACUUGUCAUAGUUAGUAUAAGAAGGUUUGGUUUACUUCCACUAUGUUACUGUUCAGUCUAUUUUAUAAACAUGUUGAUUAGCCAUUCUGGCAAAGAGGCAUCUUCAAUAAUUCAUAAAUCUCUUUUCCAAAAACUCCAAUUCUCCUUAUAGGAAUUGAGAUGCCCAAUAUUUCUCAAUUUGCUGACAAGGCUGUAAUAUAAUCACGUUUUGCUAUUGACGUAAUGCUAUAUUCCUUGACUGAAAGCAAACCCUUUAAUUGCAUCUGUACUAAGCAUUCUUUCCGUCUAUAUCUUGUCAUGAUUUUUUUACUAGCUGCAGUGGUGUUCUUAUUAUUGUUAUUUUCCAGAAUUAUUGGUAUAAACCUUGUUCAUGGCUAACUUAUAGAAUAGCAAACCUGGUUCAUGGCUAACUUAUAGAAUAGCAAACCUUGUUCAUGGCUAACUUAUACAAUAGCAGAAACUGAUUUGAAAAACCAUCAAUCUCAGGAACACUCUGACCAUGUAUUUGAUUCUAUUAAAGACCCAAUAUAUCAUGUGGUCCUGCAUCUCCUGAUGUUGAGCCAUAUAGACUGGUAUUUCCAGUAAAUUUUAUUGACAGGCACUUCGGCGUCGUUAACAAUUGACAGGCACUUUGGUGUCUCAGCAACCAGGUCGACACCGACCACCAUGGUGGCUCGCAGCGAUGCCCUCCCGCCACCCUAUGUACGACCAGCGGCGAGAUGGGCGGGAACUCUUUGGCGUGCCGGCACACAGGAACGACACACGCCGUACAACCUGAAGGACAUGUUCGUCAGGCUUAACUUGACCUUCACUGACGCCACCUUGCCACCUCUGUUGCUGGAGAUUAGCCGAAGACUUAGCUUGUUGCCGCUUUGCUUCAAUGGUUGCUUUAAUGCUCUUGGACUGUCCGUAAUGAGCAGCUGAUGGUGCUUGGACGAAACAAUUGAUCAGAAAAUGGGUAGUGCUGUGCUGGUGGUCAUGUGUCCGCUGACUAACUGUAAAACACCUAAGAUGAUUUUUCCAGGA
rnacentral:lncRNA from 1 species